UACGUAGGGUGCAAGCGUUGUCCGGAAUUAUUGGGCGUAAAGAGCUCGUAGGUGGCCUGUCGCGUCGGCUGUGAAAACUCGGGGCUCAACUCCGAGCUUGCAGUCGAUACGGGCAGGCUAGAGUUCGGCAGGGGAGACUGGAAUUCCUGGUGUAGCGGUGAAAUGCGCAGAUAUCAGGAGGAACACCGGUGGCGAAGGCGGGUCUCUGGGCCGAUACUGACACUGGAGGAAGCGAAAGGCGUGGGGAGCGAACAUGG
rnacentral:rRNA from 1 species